GAUGAACGCUGGCGGCGUGCUUAACACAUGCAAGUCGAACGCUGAACCCGCUUCGGUGGGGGAUGAGUGGCGAACGGGUGAGUAACACGUGGGCAACAUGCCCCCGGCUCUGGGAUAACUCCAAGAAAUUGGGGCUAAUACCGGAUGUGACCGCUGGCCGCAUGGGCUGGUGGUGGAAAGGGUUUCCGGCUGGGGUUGGGCCCGCGGCCUAUCAGCGUGUUGGUUGGGUAGUGGCCUACCAAAGGGACGACGGGUAGACGGCCUGGGAGGGUGACCGGGCACACUGGGACUGAGGCACGGCCCAGCCUGCGACGGGAGGCAGUAGUGGGGAACAUUGCGCAAUGGGCGGAAGCCUGACGCAGCGGUGCCGCGUGGGGGAUGACGGCUUUCGGGUUGUAAACCUCUUUCAGCAGGGACGAGGAGCAAGUGACGGUACCUGCAGAAAAAGCACCGGCCAACUACGUG
rnacentral:rRNA from 1 species